rnacentral:rRNA from 1 species
GAUGAACGCUGGCGGCGUGCCUAAUACAUGCAAGUCGAACGCGCAGCGAAAGGUGCUUGCACCUUUCAAGCGAGUGGCGAACGGGUGAGUAACACGUGGAUAACCUGCCUCAAGGCUGGGGAUAACAUUUGGAAACAGAUGCUAAUACCGAAUAAAACUUAGUAUCGCAUGAUACAAAGUUAAAAGGCGCUACGGCGUCACCUAGAGAUGGAUCCGCGGUGCAUUAGUUAGUUGGUGGGGUAAAGGCUUACCAAGACGAUGAUGCAUAGCCGGGUUGAGAGACUGAUCGGCCACAUUGGGACGGAGACACGGCCCAAACUCCUACGGGAGGCUGCAGUAGGGAAUCUUCCACAAUGGGCGCAAGCCUGAUGGAGCAACGCCGCGUGUGUGAUGAAGGCUUUCGGGUCGUAAAGCACUGUUGUAUGGGAAGAAAUGCUAAAAUAGGGAAUGAUUUUAGUUUGACGGUACCAUACCAGAAAGGGACGGCUAAAUACGUGCCAGCCGCCGCCGUAA